CCCUUACCAAUUGUCUUUUCUGCCCCUUAUUAAAUUCACAGUUCAGUAAUAAAAUAUGGGCUCAGGCCCAAUCAAAGCCCAAUAAAUGAUCGAUAGAUCACAUCACAGCAACAUCGAAAACAGGUAAAUUCUCACCGGAAACAGGCAGAUCCUCACCGGAGAGAGGCAAAUUCUCACCGGACUUAGUCUUCUUACAUAGAUCUUUGAUGAAAGUGAGCUGAUAAGGUGAAUGAUCAGUCGCGAUCCACUGCUCCACUUUGAAAUUCUGUUGAUCGCAUUCUCUAUGGACUCCGGUGACGGUGACUUCGACGUAGU
rnacentral:lncRNA from 1 species